rnacentral:lncRNA from 1 species
GAGAAAAAAAAAGGAGAGCUUGCCGUGGUUUCUUCUCAGGUGUCCGGCGCUUUGCCGUCGGCACCGUAGGAGAUUUAUUAGUUAGUUUGUGUCUUUUGUUCUCUUGCAAGGUUCUCUCCUUCUGUCCUCUCAAAACAGUUUAUCAUCUGGAUUUGUCAUUCAUGGAGUUCCAGAUCUGGAUCUAAUGACUUUGUUGUUGAUGGAUCUGGAUGUGGGGUUAGCUUGCUGUUCGUUUCCGGUGCCAAUAAUGAAAAAUCUGUUACCUUUCUCCUAGAUCUGGUUUUGGCUUAUCCUUGGCGCGUUGGAGGCGCGUGGAAGCCUAUGCCUGGUCUUGUUGUUAUGGAGAUGGUGGAUCUAGUUUCGGACUGCAGUGUUAGCUCUCUUUGGUUUCUUUGUUUGGCCUGUGGUCCUUCAUAUACCAGUUUUUCCUACAGCUACUCUCUUCUUCUUUUGCCGUGUCUCAGUUCCGGUUAAGAAGGUUCGAGAAGGUUCAAUGGAGCUCGAUAACUGUCUCUUCUGUGUUAAGUUGAGAGGAUGUCACCCACUUAAGCUCUGUAUGGCUCAGAAAUAGUUCUAGUUAGUCUUGUGUCAGCAACGGUUUCAGCGGUGGCGUCUUGGCGUGUUCGUGAGCAGAACAGGGUUAGCAUCUUCGUUGUGAUGAAGUUGGUUAAGCCACCCCUCCAUUUCCUGUAGCGAAGGAGUCCUCGUCGCAUCUUUCAGUAAGGAUCUUUCCCGGUUUGUUUCGCUACCCUCUUAAUUCCUCAGUGGCUUCGUAUUGGAUGUUUGAAGCAAUAUAAAGAGGUCGAUGUGUGGGAUCAACCGGAUGAAGAUGCGGGGGAGCGGUUUGUCCCGGGUGGUUCAGUUCUUUUGGUUCUAGGGUUCAGGGGUCAGUAUCGUGUGGGAUCUGACUCGGGUGUGAUGCUAAUUUGUGUGGUUCUGGCUCUUCAUCUCUUCAUCGUGAACAGAGGUUCAGAUGAGUUUCGGUCGUUUAUGUCUUUCACGUCGCUUGCUCACUUGUCUGAAUGUUGUUCUCCGCAAGUUAUCCGGCUGCUUUAGGCUCCUUACUAUUAUCUUUGGCCUUUGUUCAUUAAUGUAUGUGGGUGUAGAGGUAUGAUCUUGCUUUAGUCUUUUAAGUUAGCAUUCAGUUUGUUGGUAGUUGCCUGUGUUUGGGCUUAAGUUACCCUUGUAUGGGUUCUAGUUCCGGGGAUUUCACUUUGUUCCAGUUAUGUAUUUCAUCAGGUUCUAAUAUAAAUCAGUUGACGGAAAAAAAA